rnacentral:rRNA from 1 species
GAUGAACGCUGGCGGCGUGCCUAAUACAUGCAAGUCGAGCGAACGGACGAGAAGCUUGCUUCUCUGAUGUUAGCGGCGGACGGGUGAGUAACACGUGGAUAACCUACCUAUAAGACUGGGAUAACUUCGGGAAACCGGAGCUAAUACCGGAUAAUAUUUUGAACCGCAUGGUUCAAAAGUGAAAGACGGUCUUGCUGUCACUUAUAGAUGGAUCCGCGCUGCAUUAGCUAGUUGGUAAGGUAACGGCUUACCAAGGCAACGAUGCAUAGCCGACCUGAGAGGGUGAUCGGCCACGCUGGAACUGAGACACGGUCCAGACUCCUACAGGGGGCAGCAGUAGGGAGUCUUCCGCAAUGGGCGAAAGCCUGACGGAGCAACGCCGCGUGAGUGAUGAAGGUCUUCGGAUCGUAAAACUCUGUUAGUAGGGAAGAACAUAUGUGUAAGUAACUGUGCACAUCUUGACGGUACCUUAUCAGAAAGCCACGGCUAACUACGUG